rnacentral:rRNA from 1 species
AAUACGUAGGUGGCAAGCGUUGUCCGGAAUCACUGGGCGUAAAGCGCGCGCAGGCGGCGAUCUACGUCUGGGGUGAAAGCCCGGAGCUCAACUCCGGGACUGCCUUGGAUACGGGAUCGCUUGAGGAUUGGAGAGGCAAGGGGAAUUCCACGUGUAGCGGUGAAAUGCGUAGAGAUGUGGAGGAACACCUGUGCGAAGGCGCCUUGCUGGCCAAUUACUGACGCUGAGGCGCGAAAGCGUGGGGAGCAAACAGGA